rnacentral:snRNA from 1 species
GGAUGUGAGGGCGAUCUGACUGCGACAUCUGUCACCCCAUUGAUAGCCAGGGUUGAUUUGGCUGAUCUGGCUGGCUAGGCGGGUGUCCCCUUCCUCCCUCACCGCUCCAUGUGCGUCCCUCCCUGCCCCCUCAGUCGAAGAGGACGACCUUCCCCGAAUAGAGGAGGACCCGUCUUCCGUCAAGGGUAUACGAGUAGCUGCGCUCCCCUGCUAGAACCUCCAAACAAGCUCUCAAGGUUUUGUCAUUGUUAGUUAUUGGUUUGGUUUGGUUUGGUUUGGUUUGGUUUUAUUUUGUUUUUCAGAGUUCCAUGAUUCAAUACAGUUCUGCUGUAUAAC